CCAGAGCACAGGGACUUGGACACCAGACUGGGGCUGUUGGAUGGGAUGUCCCUGGAGCCUCAGUGACAUUUGCCUGCGAGCUGACUUCAACGAAUGAAACAGAGGGGAAUGAUUAAGAGGUGGUGUCCAGAGACAAAACCAAAGCCAGAGGAAGGCAGACAGUCUACCCAGUGAUUGGAGAGGGACGCAUGGAAGGGAGUCACCAUGGCGACUGGGCCAAUGCCUGAUGGUCCUUCUCAGAGGCCGCAUAGUGAGGUGUUCAAGCAGUUUCUGAAGCCAGGUUUACUGGCUUUCAAUCCUGACUUCAUGGCUUACUCUCUGAGAGACCCAGAGACAGUUACUUGACCUUCUUGUUUUACAAUUUCCUCAUGUUUAAAACGUCAUUGAUUAUUAUGGUACCCACCUAGGAUACCAUACCAUCCUAGGAGUAGAUUGUACAAUUGAGUUAGUGUGGGUAAAGUGCUAUGAAUAGUUUCUGGCACAUUGCACUGCCAUUCCUCAGCCCAUUCCAGACAGAGCAGAAGAGAGAAAAGAAGAAAUAAAGCAAAAGAAACAAGAGAGAGUAAAAGAAGCUCCCAUGGUUUUUCUCUGAGAAUUUCACUGGGGAUCUAAUUUUAAAGAAGGGGACAUGAAGAUUGAAGAAAGAACACAUAAUUUCAACCAUUUUGUUAAAUGAAAUUUGUUGGCUCUAUAAAAACGCUUCUGUUUUGGUUAUGUCCUCUAGUUUUCCCUGGUUUUCCUUACAAAGAAUAAUAAUUCUGUUCUGUCCUCUCCAUCCCAGACUCUAAAUAUUCUUUUUUUUUCUCGUCCAUGAAAGCAAAACUCCUAGGCUACAUCCCGUGUAACUCCAGCAAUGUGAGCAAGCUUUUGUUCCCAGUAUUGGCAGCAUUUCCCCCGUCGUUUGUCCCCCUGCCUGUCUGCAGGUCUCGGAGCAGCUCUGCUGUCGGAGAUCGCAGGGAGUUGGUGGAUUCAAGCCAUGGGGCUUCUUUUAUGAGCCAAGUGCAGAGAAAGGAGCUUUUCAUAUGCUCCAGCCUGCAGUCAGGUACUCCCUGGUGGGCUUCUCACAAAGCCUAGGCCCUGGAGCUCUUCCCUGGAGUUUGCAUUUGUUUCCUUAUAGGGCACGUUCCUGGCGAUGGGUAGGAGGAAAUGGCAGCCCAAAUAAGCAGCUCCCUCUGCAGCCACUCUGGGCUGGUUCCCUGCUCAGCCCAUAGAAGUCACUGGUUUGACCCAGUCCUCCCUAAAGCCAGCCUGAGUUCUUUAUUAGUGAGCAUGAAAAAUGCUUCAAUCAUAGCACCAGAUGGUACCCAAACCAAUUUGGAUUGUCAGCUGAGGCCUACUCAUUUCCAAGGGCUUGGUCUAACAUCAGUGUUAUUUCCCUCAGUGCCCAUCUAGCCCUAAAAGAUGAUCUUGCUCAGAUGAUUUUGAUGAGAAAUAAUAUUUUACUCUACACAGGACCACAGUCAUUACUUCUUUCCAUCUUUAUUAAUUCAUUCAACAAGCUUUUAUUGAGUGCCUGCUGUGUGCACUAAGCAUUUUAGGGCAUACCAAAGAGAAAUUCUUUUCUGUAUAAUAGAUAUUUGUUGAGAAUCUACUAUGUAUGUGGCAAACAUGAUACUAGAUAAUGGACAUAUAAGUCACUAAGAAGAGGUACUUUCCAUUACUCAUAGACGUAGAGAGAUGAAGAGUGCAGUUACACAACGGGUACUGGGAAAGACAAGUAACCCAAUGUCCUGUCUUACCCGCUUUCAAUUUUGCUACUUGAACUAUAAACAAAAUUUAAUUUGGUUCUCUAUUCUCUCAAUCUUCCUAAAAAGAAUUUGCCAAUAACAUUAAUAUACCACUUAGGCAGGAAGGAUGCUGGAAAGAGUCACUGAUUCUGUUCUCUUCUACCUUACCACUCAAGGAAUGGUCAAUGCACUGUCAAUGGCAUCUCCUGGGAACUUGUUAGAAGUUCAGGUCCCACUCCAGACCUGAUGGAUUAGAAUCUGCAGUUUUAAUAAGAUCCACAGGUGAUUUAUCUGCCCGGGGAAGUACUGCUCUGCUAGUUAUUUGUGCCUGAGGUAUUCCAACAAUGAUGGUGGGCUCAGUGAAAGAUCACCACAUUUAUUUUUUCAGUGAAUAUUUAUUGAGACCAACAACUCAGUAUCUGCUAGUUACAUAAUCACUUUAUUUUUUUAAAAAAAGGUGCGGCCAUUCCUUACACAUGAGUCACUGAGUUUUGGACUAUGUAACCUUGACAUGAGUGCCACUGUUGAUUGGACAGAGAUCCGGAUUUAAACCAAAAGCAGCCAUUGAUGAGCCAGUGACCUUCACAGUAUUCUGGCCAGAAAACUCUCUGAAGCAUGGUUGCAUUGUAUUUUGCAUAAAUAACUUAGAGGCAUUUUCCUAGGGAAUUCAAAAACUCGAUAGGAUUGAUGUUCACCAUAAGUAGAGUUAGAGAGACUUAAAAAGAAGCAAGCAGGAACCAUCAGGUUGAGAGUAGAUAGAGAAUAGGAGAAAAAAUUUCAGGUCCAUAUCACUGUUUUGUGUGUGUGUGUGUGUGUGUGUGUGUGUGUGUGUGACUGAGUCUCACUCUAUCGCCCAGGCUGGAGUGUAGUGGCGUGAUCUUGGGUCACUGCAACCUCGCCUCCUGGGUUCAAGUUAUUUUUGUGCCGCAGCCUCCUGAGUAGCUGGGAUUACAGGCGCCUGCCACCACACGCAGCUAAUUUUGGUAUUUUUAGUAGAGACGGGCUUUCACCAUGUUGGCCAGGAUGGUCUGGAGCUCCUGACCUCAGAUGAUCUGCCCGCCUCCGCCUCCCAAAGUUCUGGGAUUACAGGCAUGAGCCACUGCGCCAGGCAAGUAUGAGCAUUUUUAAGGGUUCACUUAGAAAAUUACUGGAAACUUCAUAUACAUGUCACCAUUAGUCUUCAGAGCACCACUGAAAGGCAAAUGUUCCAAAUGUAUGUUUUCAGUGGGCAAUGUAGACUCAGAAAAUAGAGGUAAUUUGCCUAUGAUCACUCAACUGUAGAAACAUCAGAAUUUGAACCCAGUUCUAACAUGUUUGAAAGCCCAGACGUGCAUUUUUUCAUGUUAUCUUCUUUCAGCUUAUUGCCUGCCGUUUUUUUUUUUUUCUUCUUCUUCAUUCCAGUCCUUUCUGGGAGUAUUCUGUGGCUAUUCAGGUUCCAGGGCAAAACUAUGGGCACAACUUGCUCUCCAGAGUGACAUAAAGGAAGUGGUUCAGUGCCCUUGUGAGGCUCAGGAGAGCUACUUCUGCACCUACCACCAUAAGAAGGUGCUGGGGGAAUUAUGAGAUGAAUCCUGGCUUGCUCCUUUCUUUAAGGAGCUUAUAAUCUUUUUGAUGAAAAGAAGUCUGAAUUUUUUUUUAAAAUGAUUAUGUAAGUUAGUGUGUUUGAGGAUUUAUAAACUUAAGGCAGGUGGUAGGAUUUUAGUGAGGCCUUAGAAAGACUUGAGAUACAUGAAGAGGAGGGGCCAUGCCAGUCUGGGGCUACAGUGUGAGCAAAGGCAGGAAAGAACCUGUUGAGGUAUGAGAUGGAAAAGUAAAUCAUCUGCUCCUAUUUCUCAAAAAACAUCUAAUUCAGGCUCAGUGAAUGCAUGCUAUAUGAAGAAUAUAUGCAUGGUAUGUGAAGAAUAUAUGCAUGGUGUGUGAAGAAUAUAUGCAUGCUAUAUGAAGAAUAUACACAUGCUAUAUGAAGAAUAUACACAUGCAAUGUGAAGAAUAUACACAAGCUAUAUGAAGAAUAUACAAAUUCUAUAUGAAGAAUAUAUGCAUGGUAUGUGAAGAAUAUAUGCAUGCCAUAUGAAGAAUACAUGUGUGCUAUGUGAAGAAUAUACACAUGCUAUAUGAAGAACAUAUGCAUGCUAUGCAAAGAAUACAUGCAUGCUAUGUGAAGAAUACAUGCAUGCUAUGUGAAGAAUAUAUGCAUGCUAUGUGAAGAAUAUACACAUGCUAUGUGAAGAACAUAUGCAUGCUAUAUGAAGAAUAUAUGCAUAGUAUGUGAAGAAUAUAUGCAUGCUACAUGAACAAUAUAUGCAUGGUAUGUGAAGAAUAUACAUAUGUUAUAUGAAGAAUCUGUAGGUCCAGUCGGUGACUGGAGAGAGACUUAUGGGUCAGAGUGAGACUUGUGAAGAACCUGAAUCAUGAUAGAAAAACAAAAAUCAAUGGGUUGAUAGGUGUGGACUGGCAGGAGGUGUAUGUGAGUCAGAAGGAGUGCCUCAAAUUGUGUCUACACUCAGGAGACUGGGUGGACUAGGAAGUAGGUUGAUGAAAGUCACCUCUCCUUUUCACCACUGUUAGGAAGGGGAGGGGUCUAGUGGUUAAUCACUUCAUAGGUUUAUUCUUGGAGAAGAUGGGGGUUCUACCAUGUGAAAUGUGUCAAAAUCUAAUUAUAUGUGCCAAAGACUAUUUGUGCUCAACAAAUAUCCAUUGCUCCCUAUAUUUCUUGGUUUCGAGGAGGUGCUUGAGUUUUGUCCAGUGGGCUGCAGUCGGAAGUCAUGUAACUCUCUUCUGAGCCUGACCCAUAAAGCAUCCCAUUCAUCCUUCAACUCUUUCGUGCCCUUCUUUAAUAAUUUGGAGGUCACAUGUUCCAGAUAGUGUAGCUGUGGAAUGGAAGGCUGCCUCUUGAGCAUUGGGUUUGAAAUAUUCAUGCUGAGCUGCUGAAAGUUUGGAGUUUGGUGGUUGUCACAAAGAGUUCCAGCCUUCUCUGACUAAUACAGAUGUGGUUUUUGUUGUUGUUGUUGUUGUUGUUGUUUUAGACA
rnacentral:lncRNA from 1 species